CACAGACACGGUACUGUCCCACAUUGUUUUAAGAUAUUGACGGAUCGGAAGAGCAGAAUAUUGCUAUAGAGACAUGAAGUUAACGUUGGUCCUAGCUGUCACGCUCCUGUUGUGUUCCACGUCGACAGAUGGCGUUACUGUACCGGAAGAAGAGACACAGGCCGCGCGGCUGUCGGAGGUACCGAGGAGGUCCAUCAGGACAGUCCUGAUGCCAAUGCGACAUCAACUCGACACAAAACACUUCGGAAACCUUGAAAACAGACGACGUAGGACCGUGACCGCCUUCUGCCAGACGGAGGAAUGUUUCAAGUUGAUGGGGCAGUAUGAUGAAUGGCUGCGCCUUCAUGGAGGAUCUGGAUCUACUUCUGGUCGCUGGGGAAAGUAAUUCAGUACUAAAGGAUUCUUUAUCCCUUUCCUUGUGAUUGUCGUUAUAACCCCUAGAAGGUGUGUAUCAGUGAGUUAUGUCUAAUGCUGUCCUACUGCAACCCAUUGUGCUCUACCAUUGUUCCCGUGUUCCUUGUAAUUACAACCACCAAGCAGUGUAUAUCAGAGUUAUCUACUGUUUUUUCCAAAACGUUUUCUGGACAACGCACAACUGGGACCAAUGGCUGUGGCAUCCUGAUUUUCAGAACAAAGUAGUCGCAUCACCAACUGUACCUAUUAAUAGAAGAUUUUGCUGUUGAUAUGAACAGUAUACCUCUAUAGGAAACCAGUCACUGACUUUCAAACAUCUCAUAGGAAAACAGAGGUGAAAACUACACACGACACAACAUACAAAUGCCUUUGUCCAUGUUUUAUGUCAUGAAUAAUCCCAAAAGAAAAUAUAAAACCUCGCCUUA